UACGACUACAUAUCAGGCAUAUCAAUAAGCGGAGGAAAAGAAACUAACUAGGAUUCCCUCAGUAACGGCGAGUGAAGCGGGAGAGCUCAAAUUUGAAAUCUUCAAGGUUCUACCUUGACGAAUUGUAGUUUAUAGAAGUGUUUUCUGUAGUGGAGUUUGGUAAAAGUUCUUUGGAAUAGGACAUCAUAGAGGGUGAGAAUCCCGUAUUUGACCAUUUACUUCCAGCUGUGUGAUACACUUUCAAAGAGUCGGAUUGUUUGGGAAUGCAGUCCAAAAUGGGUGGUAAAUUUCAUCUAAAGCUAAAUAUUGGCGAGAGACCGAUAGCGAACAAGUACCGUGAGGGAAAGAUGAAAAGAACUUUGAAAAGAGAGUUAAACAGUACGUGAAAUUGUCAAAAGGGAAGCGUUUGACACCAGUGUUGUUUUCUCGAAAAUCAAUUAAAAAUGACCUGGAUUUUGUGUUGUAUUGACUUUAUCAGCUUUCUGCACUCUUUUCUUGUCUUUUUUAAUGCACUUUUCGUUUAACAAGUCAACAUCAAUUUCUUUUGUUGUAAAAGGGUCAUUGGAAGGUGGCUUUCACUUCGGUGAAAGUGUUUAUAGCCUUUGACUUCUGCAAUCGGAGAGAUUGAGGUCUGCAGCGUAGAUCCUUCGGGGUUAGAUACAUUUGUGCUAAGUUGUAGUUUUUCAUAGACAACAUGUUGACUGUGAUUAAUCAUGUAGCUUACUCGCUUAUGCUAUUUUACCUACGCUUAGGAUGUUGACGCGCGUGUGUGCGUG
rnacentral:rRNA from 1 species